GCCUCUGCAAGGCUCUUAUAAGCAGCUGACAUUUCUGUCUGUAUCAGACGUCCUCAUCCGCACCUGUUUCCCUGCUCCCAUGGCUACGUUAUCAGCAGGAGCGUGUCGGACUUUCUUCAUAUGGAUAUUUUCUCUAACGGCAGAAGCUGUGGACGUCUUUGGAGUCAACACAACUGCUGUCAUGCUGACAGCCCGUAAGCAUAUUUCCUCAUUUCCGGCGAAUGUCUUGCUUUAAUCUCUGUUGCAAAUUAAUUAUUUGUUUCUUUUAUUUUGUAAUAACUUUGUUGUUGUAUUGAAUAUUUUGUUGUAUUAUGGAUGAAUUCUUUCAAACCAAAGUUUGUUUUGUUGAGCAGAAGAGGUAGGCAUGUUCCAACCAAUUCUUGGUUAUCAUCAGUUACAAAGAUUGUUCUUAAAAAAAGAGUAUUUUUGCCUUUAAUUGAUAGAACAGUUUUAAACAUCAAUGAAUGAAUGAAUGAAUGAAUGAAUGAAUGAGUGAAUGAAAUUGACAUGCAUCAAAGCACUUCUGGAUGGAAUCGAACCUGCGCUACUACAUUAACGACUGAGCCUUGGUACAUGGGGCGCAUGCUCAACCAUGUGAACUACCACGGCGACCCUUCACACAAGCUUGACAACUUGAUAUUUCUCAACACAAGUGAACCACACUGUUGCCAGGUAAAGUAAGGAAAUCUCUUUUUAAAAACCAACAUUGGAAUUUCAUCUUUCAACAUAAAAAAACAAACAAACUGCAGAAAGCAGUUUGUAUUUCACAUCUGUACUGUUCUUGGGUCACUUUCAUGUGAACACACUUGGAGCAGUUUGAAAACAAACUAUUCACAAUUGAUCUUUAUUACUGGCUUUUGCUUCCUGCUUUUCACUGGAUUUUCUUUUUAAAUAUUACAGGACAUUCCGGAGAGAACGCCAUCCUUCAGUGUCGGGGUCCCAGAGGUGCUGAGAUCCUACUGUUAACAUGGCGCAGGUCUGACCUGAUGUCAGAGUACGUCUUCUUCUACAGAGAAAAAAACCAUUCCUAUGAAGAUUACCAGCAUUCUUCUUUCCGUGGUCGAGUGGAGCUGAGAGAUCCGGAGAUGAAGGAUGGAGACCUUUCUGUUGUUCUGAAGAACGUCAGCGUCAACGACACCGGAACAUAUCUGUGUCGAGUUGCAGUGAACGCUACAGACAGUGAGACAGCCACUGACUUCUGGCAAACCACCAACCUGACUGUCACAGACUCGGGCCAAACACCUGGACACACUGGACGUCCUGGACUCAUAGUUGGUCUAUCAGUUUUUGGUGGACUUUUUCUUGGUGGAGUUGUUGUUGUUGUUGUAGGUUUAAUGAUCUUUAGAAAAUGUAAAGAACGGCCAUAUCAACGUCCUAAUGAUGAAGAGGCACAGUAUGAAUAUAAAUAAAUAUGCAUGAACGUC